UGGGGAAUAUUGCACAAUGGGGCGCAAGCCUGAUGCAGCAACGCCGCGUGAGGGAAGACGGUCCUCGGAUUGUAAACCUUUGUCUUUGGUGAAGAAGAAAGUGACGGUAGCCAAGGAGGAAGCCACGGCUAACUACGUGCCAGCAGCCGCGGUAAUACGUAGGUGGCAAGCGUUGUCCGGAAUUACUGGGUGUAAAGGGAGCGCAGGCGGGACAGCAAGUUGGAUGUGAAAUACCGAGGCUUAACCACGGAGCUGCGUCCAAAACUGUUGUUCUUGAGUGAAGUAGAGGUAGGCGGAAUUCCGAGUGUAGCGGUGAAAUGCGUAGAUAUUCGGAGGAACAC
rnacentral:rRNA from 1 species